GCCCAGAUGGUGAAAUUGGUAGACACGCCAGAUUUAGGUUCUGGUGCCGAAAGGUGUGUAGGUUCGAGUCCUAUUCUGGGCA
rnacentral:tRNA from 1 species